CCAGAUUUACAGGUUUUGUGGUAUUCGAUGUCGAGUCGUCGGUGAAGCUCUGCUCUGAUUGUGACACGGGAAAAGGGGUUUUAUAUGUAUAUAGAGUCUCCUUAUCUAGGUUGUUUUGUAUAGCUAAUAAAUACAUUAGUUGAUUUAACAUUUGUAUAAACAAGUAUUUUUGCUAAUUAACAACAUUAGUAUUAUUUUGGUAGAGGAGUGUAAUACUCGAACCGACAUUCAAUAAAUUAAAUGUGAUUUUCCGUUGCGUAUUUUGAAAAAGAUUUUACUAAGGAAGAAAUAUAUAAAUAAUGGGUUUGGGUGUUACA
rnacentral:lncRNA from 1 species